rnacentral:rRNA from 1 species
GACGAACCGUGCAAACGUUGCUCGGAAUCAUUGGGCGUAAAGCGCACGUAGGCGGCGAUCUAAGUCGGAUGUGAAAUCCCUCGGCUCAACCGAGGACGUGCAUCCGAAACUGGAUUGCUCGAGUAUGGAAGAGGGUCGCGGAAUUCUCGGUGUAGAGGUGAAAUUCGUAGAUAUCGGGAGGAACACCAGUGGCGAAGGCGGCGACCUGGGCCAAUACUGACGCUCAUGUGCGAAAGCGUGGGGAGCAAACAGG